AAAAUACUCCCUCCGUCCCAAAAUAAGUGACAUGGAUUUGUAUAAGAAUCUAUACAAUUCCAUGUCACUUAUUUUGGGACGGAGGGAGUAGCUC
rnacentral:pre_miRNA from 1 species